CCUACGGGCGGCAGCAGUCGAGAAUCUUUCACAAUGGGGGAAACCCUGAUGCUGCGAAGCCGCGUGGGUGAAGAAGUACUUCGGUAUGUAAAGCCCUUUCAGCAGGGAAGAAGACAUGACGGUAAAUGAGCAAGAAGCACCGGCUAAAGACGUGCAAGCAGACGCGCUAAUUCGGAGGGAGCAAGCGUUAUACGGAUUUACUGGGGGUAAAGGGAGCGCAUGCGGCACGGCAAGUCGGAUGUGAAAGCCCGGGGCUCAACCGCGGGACUGCAUUGGGUACUACCGGGCUGGAGUGCGGGAGAGGUAGGUGGAAUUCCAGGUGUAGCGGUGAAAUGCGUAGAUAUUAGGAGGAACACCGGUGGCGAAGGCGGCCUACUGGACGAUGACUGACGCUGAGGCUCGAAAGCGUGGGGAGCAAACAGGAUUAGAUACCCCUGUAGUC
rnacentral:rRNA from 1 species